GGCUGAAAGCUUUUUGCAGCUGAACCCAGAUAAGACAGAGGUUUUAAUCAUAGCGCCAGACAGCGCUAUCCCUCUGAUUAACCAGAACUUUGGGCCUUCGUCUUCUGCGAUCCAAUUCAAAAUUCUCACCAUAACCUAUAGGGCUCUACAUGGUCAGGCCCCUGAUUAUCUUGCCAACAUUAUUCACUUACACACCCCUUCCCGGUCUCUCAGGUCUGUCAAUCAAAAUCUGCUCUCCACGCCACGCACUCGUCUGAAGACAUGUGGGGAUAG